CAAAUUUUUAAAAAAUGGGACCGUUGAGAGCCUGUGUUCGACGUUAUGAAUACACAUUCCUCUUUUCAUUCGUUCCUCAGGAACCCUAACCUUCGCAUGGCGAUGAUGGCUGAGGAAUCGGACUCCACCACCAAGACGACGAUGAUGACGACUGACUGAAGUCAACCGGAGCUGGUUUUGGUUCGACACCGAUCACACCUUUGCCCUCUUCUCAGAAAGAUGAGGCUAAUCAAAGAACCAAAGGGAGAAGCUGCUCCUAAUCGCCGAAUUAACGAUUUGUGAUUUUCCCUGUAUGAAGAUUUUUUUUUUCUUUUUUUUGGGCGAAAUUCGGUUUUUGUUUGGAGUUUGGAAUCUAUUGGGAAAAGAAAAAAUCGGGUUUUAUUUUCUUUUUCUUCACGAUUUAGUUUAACCCAAAAAAAAAAAAAAAAUUUAAUGUAUAUAUAUAUAUAUAUUUUGGGGGAGUUCUGCUUUCGAUCCCAUUCUCGCACUCCCUUGGCUCUCUCUUCUCUUCUCUUUCUACGUCUCUGUCUCUGAGGGGCCUUUUUUACUUCUCGCCACCUAAAAUAUGGAAACUUUGAAAAAUGGAAUGCCACCUUUUCGUUCCGAAGGGAAAAUUCUGUAAAUCUGAUCUUACAGAACCUAAACAAUAGUUCAGGAUUCUAUUGGUGAAGACUCAGGAUGACUGCAGAAAUGCAGGCAAGCUCUGAUCAUUUGGUAAGCAAAUCACCUUUCCAAAUGACCUUUACUAUUGAUAUUAUCCGUUUUAUAGCUUUCAAAUUCUGCAUGGAUGUGAAUCAUGAUAGCAGAGAUUUGUAGUUCUUGGCCAUUGAGAAUUUGAACAAAUUGGCUGAUAAGGAAUGCUUCAAAUGUUAAUAUUAACUUUCUUUAUACAGAUAUUUGCAUCAACUGCAAAUAUGGAUUGUAUCAUAUCCCAUAGGCUCUAAUUAUCUCAAAUAUGGAUUGUAUCAUAUCCCAUAGGCUCAAUUAUCUCACUGUAAUCUUGUGAGAUCCGCUGUAUUGUAUGUAUACACGUUCACUCUUCUUAAUGAAAUCACCUUGGUAUUUUACCAAUCUCUCUGUUUUACAAUUUGGUUUUUGGCUCCUUUUCUUUUUAUAUUUGGUAGGUUAACAUUAUCUGACCUUUGAUUGAGAUGCUUCAAUAUUGAGAUGUACAAUUUUGGAACAGAUUUCUUAAACAUACUAUAAAUUUCAUUUUAGUGGGGUCAAAAUUCCUUCUUGCUCUAUGAUCAAGUCCUGAAAUAUGCUGAUCGUGUUAUUUGCGGUUCUUUUGUUCCCUCCAUUGAGAUUUGAAGAAAUUGGUUGGUAAGGAAUGCUCCAAAUGUAUUUGGAUUUUGGCACCUUUUACUUUUUUAUUGAUAUGCUGAGAUAUUUGGUAAGUUCACAUUGUCUGACCUUUGAUUGAGAUGCUUCAAUACUCAAAUGUACAAUUUUGGAGCAGGUUUCUUAAACUUGCUAUUAAUUUCAUUGCAGUGGGGGUCAAAAUCCCUUGUUGCUGUAUGAUCAAGUGCUGAGAUAUUCCGAUCGUUUCAGAAAUUGGGCUUCACAUAUCUCUUUGUUCUCUAAGCUUGUUACAAAGGUAAAUUUGUUCUCCUGAUCGUCCUUAAAUCUUCAUGUUAGAUGAAUUUUUCUUAUCCUCAAUGGUAUGCAUUCUUGAGAUGCAUCUAAUUUGUUAUUUUAUAAGAAAUUAACUUGUCCGUUUGAUUGACAUCUUUUAUUGACAGCACAUUUUGACAACUGUAUGUUGUUGAGACUAUUAACAUCUGCUGAAUGCUUUCUAGGCUACAUAAAAUGUAGAAUAAGGUGCAAGGCUGUGGGAAUAAGAAAGUUUGUAAUGAGAACUCUAUUUAAUACAAUAUAUAUAUAUACAUAUUUAUAUAAAUAUGAAAUUUUGGGUGUUUGGGUGAAGAGAAACGUUCAGGGAUUGCCCGAGGUUCCCUUCCUUCUGGUGUGCUAUCUGUGUCUCUUCUUGUCUCCCAUUUGCCUUCUUUUCCAUUCUUUUUUUUUUUUUCUUUUUUUUUCUUUUUUUUUUUUGCCUCUUGCCAAUUUCACUUUGUUUCUAUCUAUGCAUUUUGUUCUGCUUUCCUCUUUCUUCAUGCUUUCUCUCUUGACUUUAUUUCUAUGUUUCGUUUUUUCUUUACUUUCUCUCUUUUUUGUUAUCGCUCUACUUUUUCUCACUGCUUUUUCUUUAUACUAUUUUUUUUUUCCAGUUUUUUCUCUCUAUUUUCUUUCUCAACAAUACCCUCUAUUUUCUUUCUAGUUUUCUACUCUGUUUUCUUUUGACUUUCUCUUGCUGCAUUUUUUCUCUCACUUUUUCUUCUACUUUUCUCUUAUUAAUUUCUCUAUGCACUUUAUGUCAAGUUUGCUUUCAAAAAUUUUUUAUUCCAUGUGCUAUCAUUGUUUAGCUUAGAUGUCCUUAAAAAAAUUGAAAAUAGAAAAAGAACUAUUAUUAUAAUAUAUGCAAAAUAAAAAAGAAUGAACUUAAAAAAAAAAAAAAAAAAAAGCAAACAAAUAACGAAUUGUGAAGACAAGUUAAUAAAACGAUGCAUGUGAUAAAAAAUUAUAAGAAAUUGAAAAGAUAGUUUUUUCCCCAAAAGUGGAAAUUUUUUUGGAAGAAGACAAGUCAAGAAAUCUUUUUUUUUUUUUUCAAAAACUAAAAAAAUGAAUGCAAAAAAAAUAAAAAUAAAAAAUAAAAAAACUGAAAUCGAAGGGACAAGUGAAGAAACUAGUAAAUGUUAAACAAGGUAAGAAACUAGUAGCUAAAGUAAGAAAUCGACAAAAUUUUGAUAUUGUAUUAAAAUGAAUAAUGCUAAAUUUUAAUAUAUUUUUUUAUGCUUUCAUUAAAUUUUUUUUUUCCAAGAAAGUGAAAAAACUAGUGAGCAAUUAAACUAGAUUUUAAGGAAGUUGGAAAAGUUAAGAAACUAGUA